rnacentral:misc_RNA from 1 species
GAUGAAGAACGCAGCGAAAUGCGAUAAGUAAUGUGAAUUGCAGAAUUCAGUGAAUCAUCGAAUCUUUGAACGCUCAUUGCGCCCGCCAGUAUUCUGGCGGGCAUGCCUGUUCGAGCGUCAUUACAACCCUCAGGCCCCCGGGCCUGGCGUUGGGGAUCGGCGGAAGCCCCCUGCGGGCACAACGCCGUCCCCCAAAUACAGUGGCGGUCCCGCCGCAGCUUCCAUUGCGUAGUAGCUAACACCUCGCAACUGGAGAGCGGCGCGGCCACGCCGUAAAACACCCAACUUCUGAAUGUUGACCUCGAAUCAGGUAGGAAUACCCGCUGAACUUAAGCAUAUCAAUAAGCGGAGGA